UACAGAGGGUGCUAGCGUUGUUCGGAAUUACUGGGCGUAAAGGGCUCGUAGGUGGCCAACUAAGUCAGACGUGAAAUCCCUCAGCUUAACUGGGGAACUGCGUCUGAUACUGGAUGGCUUGAGUUUGGGAGAGGGAUGCGGAAUUCCAGGUGUAGCGGUGAAAUGCGUAGAUAUCUGGAGGAACACCGGUGGCGAAGGCGGCAUCCUGGACCAACACUGACACUGAGGAGCGAAAGCCAGGGGAGCAAACGGG
rnacentral:rRNA from 1 species